CCAAAAUCUGGUCCCUUUUGUUCAUAAUUCUAGCCCAUUUGUAAACUGAACACUAAUAUUUUAUUUUCUCAAGAGGAAAAAACUAGGCCAGCAACUGUACAUUUGAUCUAGGCCAUUUACUUGACAGGAACCACAAUGAACGGUCAUACCAUAAUAUAUUGCCUAUUGAGAAUCUUAGGCCAGCUUUCGGCAGUUAUUUGCCCAAUUGUGUUGUAGAAAAUUUCUGUUAUUCCAAUGGAUUGUACCAUAAUGAAAAGCAUUGCAUACAAGCAUCAGCCUCAUGGAAUACACGGAUAUUUGAAUAUCUUAGAACAUAAAUAUUUCAUUUCUCUUCUGCAUUCAUUUAUUUAACAACAGAGAUUCUCACUGACCAUACAAAAGGUGCGUUAGAAACAACAGUCCAGAUUGAACCACCUGCAGUGGGCCUUCUAGAUGAACAGCUCAGAUUAUCACUUAGUCAUGGAAAUCAAGCAUUGAGGAAGCUUCCCUUGAUGAACAGCCCAACUGAGCACUUGUGGAAAAAGACGAGACCCGAAAGGCCAUCUCGAACCAUUCCUACUUUUCCACCAUUGAUGCACAGGCCCACUCAGGAUACCAAAAAGG